UGCCAUGUGCUGUGUGACAGUGGAUAUAUCUCCGGGAAACGGGGAGCUAAUACGCGAUCACUUCUGUCCCACCGCAUGGUCUGAUAGGAAGAGACUUUUGGUCACGUAUUAAUGGGGCAGCGGCGCAUUAUCUAGUUGGUGGGGUAACGGCCUACCACGGCGACGAUGCGGAGCCGACCUGAGAGGGUGAUCAGCCACACUGCGACUGAUACACGGCCCACACUCCUACGGGAGGCGGCAGUAGGGAAUCUUCUUCAGUGGAGGAGAAUCUGACGGAGCAACACCGCGUGAACGAUGAUGGUUUUCUGAUCAUAAAAUUCUGUUGUUGUGAAAGAACAGCCGGUAUGAUCUCACGGUCUGACGAUACCGAAGGAGAAAACCCCGGCUAACUACGUGCCAUCAGCCGCGGCAAUACGAAUGGGGCAAGCGUUGUCCGGAUUUAUUGGACUUAUAGCGCGCACAGGCGGCUUCUUAGGUUUCGUGUGAAUGCCCACGCCUCCCCCGGGAAGGGCCACUUGAAACUGUGAAACUUGAGUACCUGAGAUGAGAACGAAAUUACACGUGUACCAGUGAUAUGCGUAAAUUGUGGAGGAUCACCAGGAGCGAAGGCGGCUCUCUCGCCUGUAACUGAUGCUGAUGCGCCUAAGCGUGGGAG
rnacentral:rRNA from 1 species